GAAAUGCGAUAAGUAAUGUGAAUUGCAGAAUUCAGUGAAUCAUCGAAGCUUUGAACGCACCUUGCGCUCCUUGGUAUUCCGAGGAGCAUGCCUGUUCGAGCGUCAUUACACCACUCAAGCUCUGCUUGGGUUUGGAUUUGGAUGUUUGCCGGUGAUGAACCGACUCAUCUUAAAAGUAUUAGCUGGAUCUGUCUAUAUGACUGGUUUGACUUGGCAUAAUAAGUAUUUUGCUGAGGACAUCUUCGGAUGGCCAGUACCUAGACUACUGUCUGCUAACUAAACCAUCACUUUAAGUGCAUCUUUGGAUGUUACUCAUUGUGUAACUUUGACAUCUGGCCUCAAAUCAAGUAGGACUACCCGCUGAACUUAA
rnacentral:misc_RNA from 1 species